rnacentral:rRNA from 1 species
UCAUGGCUCAGGACGAACGCUGGCGGCGUGCCUAAUACAUGCAAGUAGAACGCUGAAGGAGGGAGCUUGCUUCUUCUGGAUGAGUUGCGAACGGGUGAGUAACGCGUAGGUAACCUGCCUGAUAGCGGGGGAUAACUAUUGGAAACGAUAGCUAAUACCGCAUAAGAGGUAAUAACACAUGUUAUUAGUUUAAAAGGGGCAAUUGCUCCACUAUCAGAUGGACCUGCGUUGUAUUAGCUAGUUGGUAAGGUAACGGCUUACCAAGGCGACGAUACAUAGCCGACCUGAGAGGGUGAUCGGCCACACUGGGACUGAGACACGGCCCAGACUCCUACGGGAGGCAGCAGUAGGGAAUCUUCGGCAAUGGGGGCAACCCUGACCGAGCAACGCCGCGUGAGUGAAGAAGGUUUUCGGAUCGUAAAGCUCUGUUGUAAGAGAAGAACGGAUGUGGGAGUGGAAAAUCCAUGUCGUGACGGUAUCUUACCAGAAAGGGACGGCUAACUACGUGCCAGCAGCCGCGGUAAUACGUAGGUCCCGAGCGUUGUCCGGAUUUAUUGGGCGUAAAGCGAGCGCAGGCGGUUUCAUAAGUCUGAAGUUAAAGGCAGUGGCUUAACCAUUGUACGCUUUGGAAACUGUGAGACUUGAGUGCAGAAGGGGAGAGUGGAAUUCCAUGUGUAGCGGUGAAAUGCGUAGAUAUAUGGAGGAACACCGGUGGCGAAAGCGGCUCUCUGGUCUGUAACUGACGCUGAGGCUCGAAAGCGUGGGGAGCAAACAGGAUUAGAUACCCUGGUAGUCCACGCCGUAAACGAUGAGUGCUAGGUGUUGGGUCCUUUCCGGGACUCAGUGCCGCAGCUAACGCAUUAAGCACUCCGCCUGGGGAGUACGACCGCAAGGUUGAAACUCAAAGGAAUUGACGGGGGCCCGCACAAGCGGUGGAGCAUGUGGUUUAAUUCGAAGCAACGCGAAGAACCUUACCAGGUCUUGACAUCCCGAUGCCCGCUCUAGAGAUAGAGUUUUUCUUCGGAACAUCGGUGACAGGUGGUGCAUGGUUGUCGUCAGCUCGUGUCGUGAGAUGUUGGGUUAAGUCCCGCAACGAGCGCAACCCUUAUUGUUAGUUGCCAUCAUUCAGUUGGGCACUCUAGCGAGACUGCCGGUAAUAAACCGGAGGAAGGUGGGGAUGACGUCAAAUCAUCAUGCCCCUUAUGACCUGGGCUACACACGUGCUACAAUGGCUGGUACAACGAGUCGCAAGUCGGUGACGGCAAGCUAAUCUCUUAAAGCCAGUCUCAGUUCGGAUUGUAGGCUGCAACUCGCCUACAUGAAGUCGGAAUCGCUAGUAAUCGCGGAUCAGCACGCCGCGGUGAAUACGUUCCCGGGCCUUGUACACACCGCCCGUCACACCACGAGAGUUUGUAACACCCGAAGCCGGUGAGGUAACC